AAACUUAUGUUAACAUCUGUUGGUUAACAUUUGUGAACCUGACAACUUGCUUGGAAAAGUAGCAGUGUCUACAAUGAGACUCAGAGGCUAAGAAAUCGCCUGAUGCCAUACAACUACAUGUACUGAUGACUGAGAUUCAAACUUGGAUUUAUCUGGCUCCAAAGUCUCUACUCCUUCCACAACAAUAAAACUAAGGAGAAGAGAGAGAGAAAACUAAUUCUCAAUAACAAAGGAUGUAUACUUCCCUGGCCAGCAGUUAGAACAUCGACCCGACCCUCGGACUAAAGGUCCAGAUUUAGAUGCAGAGAUGAUGAAGCUGUUGAACUGGCAUUUGAGGCCAUUGGAGGGAGC